rnacentral:rRNA from 1 species
GCAACUCGCCUGCAUGAAGUCGGAAUUGCUAGUAAUCGUAGGUCAGCAUACUACGGUGAAUACGUUCCCGGGCCUUGUACACACUGCCCGUCAAACCAUGAGAGUUGGCAACACCCGAAGUCGGUAGUCUAACCGCAAGGAGGACGCCGCCGAAGGUGGGGUUGAUGAUUAGGGUUAAGUCGUAACAAGGUAGC